rnacentral:rRNA from 1 species
GACGAACGCUGGCGGCGUGCUUAACACAUGCAAGUCGAACGGAAAGGCCCUGCUUUUGUGGGGUGCUCGAGUGGCGAACGGGUGAGUAACACGUGAGUAACCUGCCCUUGACUUUGGGAUAACUUCAGGAAACUGGGGCUAAUACCGGAUAGGAGCUCCUGCUGCAUGGUGGGGGUUGGAAAGUUUCGGCGGUUGGGGAUGGACUCGCGGCUUAUCAGCUUGUUGGUGGGGUAGUGGCUUACCAAGGCUUUGACGGGUAGCCGGCCUGAGAGGGUGACCGGGCACAAUGGGACUGGGAUACGGCCCAGACUCCUACGGGAGGCAGCAGUGGGGAAUAUUGCACAAUGGGCGGAAGCCUGAUGCAGCAACGCCGCGUGCGGGAUGACGGCCUUCGGGCUGUAAACCGCUUUCGCCUGUGACGAAGCGUGAGUGACGGUAAUGGGUAAAGAAGCACCGGCUAACUACGUG